rnacentral:lncRNA from 1 species
AGGCUGUUUCCUGGGCGAACGCUCAGAACCGGCAACGCAACACAAGGAACCAUCUUGCCGAUUCUAGACCGUUCGCUGUCUUCAUGGACGAGGCGGCCAGGGAACAUCCAGAAUUCAACCAGUACGUCUCUACGUACAAGAAGGCAUAUCCUGACUCUCAGGAGGAUAUUAUAAGUAAUCUUACGUUUUAAAAUUUUUAAUUUUACUUAUAUAUAUGUCAAAAUGUUAAUUAACCAUUUUUUCCUAUCCAAUUAGGUGAAGGUGAGGGAGGCUAGUGACGAGAUGAUGAGUACUAUAGUGAGGGAGACAUGGCCGGACACGCAGGAGGAAGAGAUGUCCGAAGCCAUGUCCCGGAUCGACAUUUCGGAUCUGAGGGUUGGGGCGAGGAUCAUGGGCACAGCUUUCCCACCGUGAGCAAACAACUUCUACUGCCGGGGUCUAGGAAAGAAGGGCGAGGGGGUCCUGAAGACCACUCCAGGAUUUCAACGAAAGACAGCCUCGACCAGCAGGAGGACCUUGACCACCAGCAAGACGACUCAGCUAGAGUCGGAAGUUCAGAGACUACGGGAACAGCAAGCUGCUUAGGCUGCUUAUAAUGCCACGCAGACAGCCUAUACUGCCGAGGUAUAUGCCAUCCAGCAAGCCCAGCAGCGGUAGAUGCUCCAAUACAUGUAGGAGUUUAUAGCUGCCCAGCUUCAGGGACUUCCGACUCCGCCCAUGCCUACGCUUAUACCGCUACCUCAGCCACCGCAACCUCCGCAGCAGCCCCCAGAAACGGAUAUUAAUUUAGACGAUCUAGAUUUUGUGUAGUUGAUACAUUAUAUAGUUUUAUGUGUUUAUUGUUGGUUAUAUGGAAUUGUUUUGGUGUAUUUUGCAACUUGCUUGGAAUGGUAAUUUAGAAAUUUUGGUUUUUUUUUUUUUACUGGAAUGGACUUGUAGCCGACGAAACAUGUAAAAUAUUCGUCGGCUAUAGUAUUUUUAAUUUUUUUAAUAAGGUUUGGCCGACGAAUUACGGCCCGUUUCGUCGACUAAACCCUCUAAAACCGACGAAACAGACUAUAUUUCGUCGGCUUUAGUUAUUUUUUUAAUUUUUUAUUACACACUUUAGCCAACGACUAUCUAAUUUCUUCGUCGGCUAAAGUCUGGGAAAAAGAGCCGACGACUAUCUAAUUUCUUCGUCGGCUAAAGUCUGGGAAAAAAGCCGACGACUACAUGAUUUUUUCGUCGGCUAAAGUCUGGGAAAAAAGCCGACGACUUGUUUUUCGUCGGCUAAACUCUAGAACUAUAGCCGACGACGUCAUUUUGAUUCGUCGGCUAAAGUCAUCGCCGAUGACCUUUUCCCAACGAAAUCUUAACCGACGAAUUAAGCUAACAGGCCGACGAAACUUUUUCGUCGACUAAAGUGCUUGUCCUAGUAGUGUAAGCCCCAAACUUGUUGUAGGAACUCAAGGCCCAUUCGGCCCAAGUAGACAGAUAUCAAAGUAUAUUCUCUAAAAGCGAUAAGUAAAGUGCAUAUAAAGAACAGAACAAGAAAAAUAGAUUUCUUCAGAUUUUAGAAAUUUUAAAAGUUAUAAAAUUACUAUGAUUUCGAAACUUCAAAAAAUUACAACACAUAAUCAUAUAGUCUUUCGAAAUGCUACUUUUCAGCCUAAUCAAGUUUACCAAAGAGCUAUUUCUGCUACUAAAUCUGACAAGCAUGCUAAUAUUGUUACUAACAGUAAUGUUUUCUCAAAGCCAACGUACAUCACCUGGUUACCUCUGGAGAAUGCGUAGUUAAAACUAAAUUUUGAUGGUUCUAUGAGGCAAGGAAAAACAACCAUGAGAUGUGUGAUUCGUGAUACCAAUGGAAACCCUAUCAUCUCAGCAUGUCAAGCCAUUGGAGAAGUCGGUGUCUUGGUAGCAGAAGUUAUGGCUUUUCGAGAAGGUUUAAAGACCUAUUUUUUGAUUACAUCUUGACAUCUUAUCCGUUCAGUUUUUAAGUCUAUAUGUGUAGAUCAACCCUACAAAUUUUUAGCCAAAUUAGCGAUCGUUAAAGUAAUAAACUAGAUCAAAUUAAUAGACGAACCAAAUCUGUCAAACAUGAACCGUUCAAAUUUAUAAUUAGUAAAUCACACUUAUAAAUGUCUUAACG